UACGGAGGGGGCUAGCGUUGUUCGGAAUUACUGGGCGUAAAGCGCACGUAGGCGGCUUUGUAAGUUAGAGGUGAAAGCCUGAUGCUCAACAUCAGAAUUGCCUUUAAGACUGCAUCGCUUGAACGUCGGAGAGGUGAGUGGAAUUCCGAGUGUAGAGGUGAAAUUCGUAGAUAUUCGGAAGAACACCAGCGGCGAAGGCGGCUCACUGGACGACUGUUGACGCUGAGGUGCGAAAGCGUGGGGAGCAAACAGG
rnacentral:rRNA from 1 species